AACGAACGCUGGCGGCAUGCCUAACACAUGCAAGUCGAACGAGACCUUCGGGUCUAGUGGCGCACGGGUGCGUAACGCGUGGGAACCUGCCCUUAGGUUCGGAAUAACUCCCCGAAAGGGGUGCUAAUACCGGAUAAUGUCUUCGGACCAAAGAUUUAUCGCCUUUGGAUGGGCCCGCGUUGGAUUAGCUAGUUGGUAGGGUAAAAGCCUACCAAGGCGACGAUCCAUAGCUGGUCUGAGAGGAUGAUCAGCCACACUGGGACUGAGACACGGCCCAGACUCCGACGGGAGGCAGCAGUGGGGAAGAUUGGACAAUGGGCGAAAGCCGGAUCCAGCAAGGCCGCGGGAGUGAUGAAGGCCUUAGGGUUGUAAAGCUCUUUUACCCGGGAUGAUAAGGACAGGACCGGGAGAAUAAGCUCCGGCGAACUCCGU
rnacentral:rRNA from 1 species